rnacentral:lncRNA from 1 species
UAAAUAGAUAGGUGUAUGUGAAAGUGUUUUAAUUGGGCAUAAAGGGGGUUGUGUAGCUCUCCUUGGAAGGCAGAGGUCCUGGGGAUAACAAUAAUGGACACGAUGUUUGUCGAUGUGGCAGUCUGCAUGACCACAUUCAUAGUUUACAAUUGAUAUAUAUGUUCCUUGGAUUGGCGUGGGGUCGUUGAUUCGCUAGCCUUUCCUUGGACUUUUCUAGUUUGUGCUGCUAACAUGCAAUGGCGCCCUUCUAAUGAGGGGAGAUGAAUUAAUAUAUCCCAUGGGUGUUUUAGGAUUGUUAGAUAUACAAUGUCUAGGUUAAUGAUUUUAAAAUCUCAUACAUAAACAUUGAUCCCUAUCCUGACAUCUUCUAUAUAUCUAUAUAUGAAUGUGUGUAUAUAGUUUUGGAAUGACUUUGGACAUGACAGUAUUUUCUCCCUUCCUUAAGUGACAUGCUAGCGCUGACCCCACUAAAUAUCCUCGGAUG